UGUGUGAAUAUUUUGCAGUCGGGCAGCAUGAAAGCAGAUUUACAAGAAAUAGCAUUUAAUAUAUUCUUGUUUUGCAGGGAGCACAACAUUUCAGUCGACAUUCAGUGGAUCCCCAGAGACAAAAAUCAGAAAGCUGAUUAUUUAAGCAAACUUGUUGAUUAUGAAGACUGGGGAGUGUCUCAAGAUUUUUUCAGUUUCAUUGAUUCUUUACAUGGUCCACAUUCCGUUGACAGAUUUGCUAAUUCAAAAAACAAAAUUUGCCUAGAUUUAAUUCGUUGUUUUGGAAUCCGGCUACGGAAGCUGUAAAUUCAUUUACUCAAGACUGGAGAACAGAAAACAAUUGGUUAGUUCCGCCCAUUUAUUUAGUGACAAAAACCAUUAAAUAUCUCAUUAAUAGCAAAGCGGUGGGAACCCUGAUUGUACCAAAAUGGAGAUCUGCUUCUUUUUGGCCUUACAUUUAUAAAGAUAAAUAUUCUACUUAUGAAUAUAUCACAGAUAUCUUAGAGUUCAGUGAACAAAUCCACGGUUUUUGGUUCUAACCGAUUUGUAUCUCCAGUAUUGGCUUUAAGACUUGAUGCAAGGUUUUUGUGAUAUAAUGAUACAUAUAUCAUAGGACGUGUAUAUAUACAGCAGGACCUGGUACUCUAAGAAUGGUACUUCAGACGUUGAUGUAAAUAUAUAGUUUGAGGCCCUGGUACAUAUUUGUACUGCAGAUGUUUGAUAUAUUCUAAUUUAAGGCCCUGGUACAUAUUUGUAUUGCAGAUGUUUGAUAUAUUCUAAUUUAAGGUCCUGGUACAUAAUUGUACUGCAGAUGUUUGUUUUAUUUUAUUUAAGAUUCAGGUACAUAAUUGUAUUGCAGUUGUUUAGUUAAUGUGCAUUAAUUAGAAUUACCUUGAUAUUCAAGAUAUUUUGAUUGAACAGUUUCUUUUAACUGGUUAUUUGUCUUGUACAUUUUGCAGAAUUAUUUUCGGUCGGCAGGUGGACGUCUUUAUUUGACAGCGCUCAGGAUACAUCUCUUUUGAAGCUUGCGGAGUCCUUACCGAAUUACUGCCUAAAAUCAAAAGCCGAAAAUACAGUAAAGAAAUAUAGAGAAAAAGAACACAAGAAAAUUGAAUUAUGUGAUUGUAUACAUGUAAUAAUUAAACUGCACUUCUGAGAGCG